UACGAAGGGGGCUAGCGUUGCUCGGAAUCACUGGGCGUAAAGGGCGCGUAGGCGGAUCUUUAAGUCGGGGGUGAAAGCCCAGGGCUCGACCCUGGAAUUGCCUUCGAUACUGAAGAUCUCGAGACCGGAAGAGGUAAGUGGAACUGCGAGUGUAGAGGUGAAAUUCGUAGAUAUUCGCAAGAACACCAGUGGCGAAGGCGGCUUACUGGUCCGGUUCUGACGCUGAGGCGCGAAAGCGUGGGGAGCAAACAGG
rnacentral:rRNA from 1 species